AUCGCUCCAGUCCGACAUCUGUCACCCCAUUGUUCCCCAGGGUUGAUUUGGCUGAUAUGGCUGGCUAGGAGGGUAUCCCCUUCCUCCCUCACUGCUCCAUGGGCAUCCCUCCUGAAGCUGUGUGCUUCAUAGACGAGGACAGCUUUCCCCAAACAGAGACUGACUGGUCUUCAGUCUAGGGUAUACAAGUAGCUAUGCUCCCCUGAUAGACCUUUCAAACAAGCUCUCAAGGACUGGUCCUGUGUGAUGAACCAAAAACAGAGAUAAGAUUAUUUAGUUCCAUUUUGCCCACAGAGUAAAUUAUCAAAU
rnacentral:snRNA from 1 species